rnacentral:lncRNA from 1 species
GAUACUAUCACAGUUAUAACUGUGCAUUGCACUGCAAUCUUGCAAAGCAGAGUACACGAACAAUGUUCUUUUUAAGUACCAAUUUGAGAGCUCCAAAUGGCAAUUCCAGAGCCUGCUAUAAAAUAUCUACCCUUUCCAACACCCCUCCCCCUCCCUGCCUGCCCCAGCACAAACACGGACACCAAAAAAGAAAGGGCCAUUGCAGAAGGAGA